AGGACGAACGCUGGCGGCGUGCUUAACACAUGCAAGUCGAACGGUGAAGGAGAGCUUGCUCUCCGGAUCAGUGGCGAACGGGUGAGUAACACGUGGGCAACCUGCCCCUGACACUGGGAUAACUCCGGGAAACCGGGGCUAAUACCGGAUAUUACGCGAGAUGGCAUCUCCUCGCGUGGAAAGUUUUUUCGGCAGGGAUGGGCCCGCGGCCUAUCAGCUUGUUGGUGAGGUAACGGCCCACCAAGGCGACGACGGGUA
rnacentral:rRNA from 1 species